UACAGAGGGUGCAAGCGUUAAUCGGAAUUACUGGGCGUAAAGCGUGCGUAGACGGUUAUGUAAGUCGGGUGUGAAAGCCCCGGGCUCAACCUGGGAAUUGCAUUCGAGACUGCAUAGCUAGGGUGCGGAAGAGGGAAGCGGAAUUUCCGGUGUAGCGGUGAAAUGCGUAGAUAUCGGAAGGAACACCGGUGGCGAAGGCGGCGCUCUGGACCGAGACUGACGCUGAGGCGCGAAAGCGUGGGGAGCAAACAGG
rnacentral:rRNA from 1 species